GCGAGUGUAGCUCAGGGGUAGAGCACUUGCUUAGCAUGCACCAGGUCCUGCCUGGGUUCGAUCCCCAGCACCUCCA
rnacentral:tRNA from 1 species